GGGCCUGGGAAGGGGGAGGCAUGGCCCUUCCUUUUGUCCGCUUCUGUUCUGUCUGCCCUCCCCUGUGUCCGCCCUCUGCCCUCCAGCUUACCCUCUGGGCUCUGUCGCCUGCUCUGCUCUCCCCCAGGCUCUGCCAGUCACUUAGGCUCCCCUGUGCCCUGCACCCCAGGCAGGGACCACUGGCCCACAGUGCCUCCAAUCACCCAAGCCAAACUAAGAGAAGAGUGGAGACAAUUGGAGACUCUGCCUUUUCAAAGUCUCAUUUUUAAAAAAAAUCCAGACUUGGGGUCCGGGUGCGGUAGUUCAUGCCUGUAAUCCCAGCACUUUGGGAGGCCGAGGCGGGUGGAUCACUUGAGGCCAGGAGUUCGAGACUAGCCUGGCCAACGUGGCAAAAUCCCGUCUCUAUAAAAAAUAUAAAAGCCAGGCGUGGUGGUGCACAUGCCUGUAAUCCCAGUUACUCAGAAGGCUGAGGCAUGAGGAUUGCUUGAACCUGGGAGGCAGAGGAUGCAGUAAGCCAAGAUCAAGCCACUGCACUCCAGCCUGGGCGACAGAGUGAGACUCUGUCCAAAAAAAAAAAAAAUCCAGACGUGGUCAGAGUCCAUGGGCAGUGAAUGAGGACAGUUGAUGGUGUGCAAAAUCGACCCACCUCUUGCUACAUCCCCAAGGCCUCAUCUCACCCGAGUCCCUCGCCAAAGCACAGCGGUUUUGCCGUGUGCCCUGCUGGGAUGGCGCUGCAUGGCACACACACUGUGACCACGCUUUGAGAGCUGUGACUGACAUGCCUCUGUCCUGUUGCGAGGGCCUAUAGUGCCAAGUGCAUGAGCUCUGGGGAGGGCUUCGUGGGUGCAGAGCUGGGCCUGUGGAGGCCCCUCAGACACAACACUGGUGGGGCUCAGAGCUCCAGGGGCACUCGAGGGAAGACAAGAACCGGCUCUGAGAUGCGUGAAUGUGACAGUGCAUGAGUAGAGAUGGAGACCUUGUGGGUCCCAGAACCAGGACUGCAUAUGACUUUCAUAUGUGGGUAUUUUUGCCUUCAUGGGUCCCUUCCUGUUUUAAAAAAAAUGUGUGAUUAUGUUGUCACAAAGAGUUUAUUCCUGUAUAUUGUGUUAAUUUGUGUUCAGAUUUGUAAAGUAAAAUUAAACCAUUUCAGCCAGG